GCUACCAUGCAGUCGAGGGGCAGCAUUUCAGUUUGCUUGCAAACUGGAGAUGGCGACCGGCGCACGGGUGAGUAACACGCUAUCCAACCUGCCGAUAACUCGGGGAUAGCCUUUCGAAAGAAAGAUUAAUACCCGAUGGUAUAAUCAGACCGCAUGGUCUUNUUAUUAAAGAAUUUCGGUUAUCGAUGGGGAUGCGUUCCAUUAGGCAGUUGGUGAGGUAACGGCUCACCAAACCUUCGAUGGAUAGGGGUUCUGAGAGGAAGGUCCCCCACAUUGGAACUGAGACACGGUCCAAACUCNUACGGGAGGCAGCAGUGAGGAAUAUUGGUCAAUGGGCGCAGGCCUGAACCAGCCAAGUAGCGUGAAGGAUGACUGCCCUAUGGGUUGUAAACUUCUUUUAUAUGGGAAUAAAGUUUUCCACGUGUGGAAUUUUGUAUGUACCAUAUGAAUAAGGAUCGGCUAACUCCGUGCCAGCAGCCGCGGUUAAUACGGAGGAUCCGAGCGUUAUCCGGAUUUAUUGGGUUUAAAGGGAGCGUAGGUGGACAGUUAAGUCAGUUGUGAAAGUUUGCGGCUCAACCGUAAAAUUGCAGUUGAUACUGGCUGUCUUGAGUACAGUAGAGGUGGGCGGAAUUCGUGGUGUAGCGGUGAAAUGCUUAGAUAUCACGAAGAACUCCGAUUGCGAAGGCAGCUCACUGGACUGCAACUGACACUGAUGCUCGAAAGUGUGGGUAUCAAACAGGAUUAGAUACCCUGGUAGUCCACACAGUAAACGAUGAAUACUCGCUGUUUGCGAUAUACAGUAAGCGGCCAAGCGAAAGCAUUAAGUAUUCCACCUGGGGAGUACGCCGGCAACGGUGAAACUCAAAGGAAUUGACGGGGGCCCGCACAAGCGGAGGAACAUGUGGUUUAAUUCGAUGAUACGCGAGGAACCUUACCCGGGCCUAAAUUGCAUUUGAAUAUUUUGGAAACAGUNUAGCCGNAAGGCAAAUGUGAAGGUGCUGCAUGGUUGUCGUCAGCUCGUGCCGUGAGGUGUCGGCUUAAGUGCCAUAACGAGCGCAACCCUUAUCUUUAGUUACUAACAGGUCAUGCUGAGGACUCUAGAGAGACUGCCGUCGUAAGAUGUGAGGAAGGUGGGGAUGACGUCAAAUCAGCACGGCCCUUACGUCCGGGGCUACACACGUGUUACAAUGGGGGGUACAGAAGGCAGCUACCUGGUGACAGGAUGCUAAUCCCAAAAGCCUCUCUCAGUUCGGAUCGAAGUCUGCAACCCGACUUCGUGAAGCUGGAUUCGCUAGUAAUCGCGCAUCAGCCAUGGCGCGGUGAAUACGUUCCCGGGCCUUGUACACACCGCCCGUCAAGCCAUGAAAGCCGGGGGUACCUGAAGUACGUAACCGCAAGGAGCUCNNGGA
rnacentral:rRNA from 1 species